rnacentral:rRNA from 1 species
UACGAAGGGGGCUAGCGUUGCUCGGAAUUACUGGGCGUAAAGCGCACGUAGGCGGUCUUUUCAGUCGGUGUUGAAAUCCUGGAGCUCAACUCCAGAACUGCCUUCGAUACUGGAAGACUUGAGUCCGGGAGAGGUGAGUGGAACUGCGAGUGUAGAGGUGAAAUUCGUAGAUAUUCGCAAGAACACCAGUGGCGAAGGCGGCUCACUGGCCCGAUACUGACGCUGAGGCACGAAAGCGUGGGGAGCAAACAGG